rnacentral:rRNA from 1 species
GGGUUGUGAGGUUAAGCGACUAAGCGUACACGGUGGAUGCCCUGGCAGUCAGAGGCGAUGAAGGACGUGCUAAUCUGCGAUAAGCGUCGGUAAGGUGAUAUGAACCGUUAUAACCGGCGAUUUCCGAAUGGGGAAACCCAGUGUGUUUCGACACACUAUCAUUAACUGAAUCCAUAGGUUAAUGAGGCGAACCGGGGGAACUGAAACAUCUAAGUACCCCGAGGAAAAGAAAUCAACCGAGAUUCCCCCAGUAGCGGCGAGCGAACGGGGAGCAGCCCAGAGCCUGAAUCAGUGUGUGUGUUAGUGGAAGCGUCUGGAAAGGCGCGCGAUACAGGGUGACAGCCCCGUACACAAAAAUGCACAUGCUGUGAGCUCGAUGAGUAGGGCGGGACACGUGGUAUCCUGUCUGAAUAUGGGGGGACCAUCCUCCAAGGCUAAAUACUCCUGACUGACCGAUAGUGAACCAGUACCGUGAGGGAAAGGCGAAAAGAACCCCGGCGAGGGGAGUGAAAAAGAACCUGAAACCGUGUACGUACAAGCAGUGGGAGCACG